CGUGUUUACUAAGAGUGCUUACCUCGAUACCUUGUAUGCCUCAGUAGUGUUCAUUCACUUUCUGUGUUAGUUCAGUGACACAGACUGUUUUAUUGUUCUUGUCUUUAUUUUUCAUAGAAAAACAAGGAUGUCACAUUUUGUGAAGCCGAGUGUUUCAAGAUUGAUGCAAAUAGAAAAACUGUACAUUGUCGUUCUGCUGUUGGAACUAAUCUUGAUGGGAAUGGUGAUUUUAUGUUGGAUUAUGACUACUUAGUUGUUGCUCUUGGGGCUACUGUAAGUACAUUUAACACUCCUGGAGUGCUGGAGCACUGCUGCUUUUUGAAGUCAGGAAGUAGAGGAUGCUUAGAAGAUACGGAAGGGUGUGAUAGAUUGUUUUGAAAAAGCAUCACUUCCAAAUAUUAGUGAAGAAGAGAAAAGGAAAAUCCUACAUUUUGUAGUUAUUGGUGGUGGACCUACUGGAGUUGAAUUUGCAGCAGAGAUGCAUGAUUUUCUUGUCGAAGAUUUAGUGAAACUAUAUCCUGCCAUUCAAGACCUUGUGAAGAUAACAAUUAUUCAAUCGGCAGAGCAUAUAUUGACUAUGUUUGAUGAAAGAAUAGCUUCAUUUGCUGAACAAAAGUUCAAGAGGGCCG